UGGGGAAUUUUGGGCAAUGGGGGCAACCCUGACCCAGCAACGCCGCGUGGAGGAAGAAGGUCUUCGGGUCGUAAACUCCUGUCCAGAGGGACGAAGCAAGUGACGGUACCUCUGGAGGAAGCCCCGGCUAACUCCGUGCCAGCAGCCGCGGUAAUACGGGGGGGGCGAGCGUUGUUCGGAAUUACUGGGCGUAAAGGGCGCGUAGGCGGCCUCGGAAGUCAUGGGUGAAAGCCCCGGGCUCAACUCGGGAAUGGCCUGUGAAACCACGGGGCUGGAGUGCUGGAGAGGGAAGCGGAAUUCCCAGUGUAGCGGUGAAAUGCGUAGAUAUUGGGAGGAACACCUGUGGCGAAGGCGGCUUCCUGGACAGACACUGACGCUGAGGCGCGAAAGCCAGGGGAGCAAACG
rnacentral:rRNA from 1 species